rnacentral:rRNA from 1 species
AUGUCACAUUCCGUAAAAAUUUACGAUACAUGUAUAGGAUGCACUCAAUGUGUACGAGCUUGUCCAACAGAUAUAUUAGAAAUGAUACCCUGAGAUAGAUGUAAAGCCAAGCAAAUUGCUUCCGCGCCGAGAAUCGAAGAUUGUGUGGGUUGUAAGAGAUGUGAAUCUGCCUGCCCGAGCAUUCUAUAG